AACGAACGCUGGCGGCAUGCCUAACACAUGCAAGUCGAACGAGACCUUCGGGUCUAGUGGCGCACGGGUGCGUAACGUGUGGGAACCUGCCGUUAGGCUCGGAAUUACACCCCGUAAGGGGUGCUAAUACCGGGUAACUUCCUCGGAUACCAGAUACAACUCCUUUGGAUGGGCCGGCGUUGGAUUAGCUGGUUGGUAGGGUAAAAGCCUACCAAGGCGAGGCUACAUAGCUGGUCUGAGAGGAUGAUCAGCCACACUGGGACUGGGACACGGCCCAGACUCCUGCGGGAGGCAGCAGUGGGGAAUAUUGGACAAUGGGCGAAAGCCUGAUGCAGCAAUGCCGCGUGAGUGAUGAAGGCCUGAGGGAAGUAAAGCACUUUAACCCGGGAUUAUAAUGACAGUACCGGGAGAAUAAGCACCGGCUAACUCCGUG
rnacentral:rRNA from 1 species